AUUCCGGACUUCCCGGCCAUUUUAACGAGUUCAGACUAAACAGUUUCUUUAGCAAUACAUAUUUGUCACUUGUAACAAAUUUAGAAAGACAGGAGAUCUUUGGUGAGCCAAGCGAUCACAAAUACUGAUGUGGAGGUCUCGCUUCCCAUGUUUUUAUUUUCGGCUGUAAAGGACUAAACACUGGAGAAAAUAGCACCAUUUCUUCCACUAUCUCGACUUAAGGACAAACCUGAUCCCAAACUCUUCGCGCAGCAGAAAUAAAAGUCAAUCAACAAUUCUCACCAGCUGUGCCACCAUGUCCCAUGGUGGGGAAGCCACACAGGUCAUCUGAGCAUCCAAGCUGCUUUUCAAGAAAUCUCCAAUUCCAGGAAGAAUGAGAACAUCAUUCUGUUGUGGGGUGCUCAUCAGAGAAGACUUCUCGGACAUGGGUUUUAGCCAAUAGAAAAUCUUUCUUAGCUGACCAAUGACUGACUACACUGUGUGUUCCAGAUCACGGUGUAGCACUGAGCCUUUCUCAGGGUUGAGCCUUUAAGCACAAAAAUCAUAGCCCAGGUUGACAUACUUCAGUUAUCAAGAACAGUUAGCCAGAAGCAGAACACCGAAGCCAGAAAACAAGGGUGGUACUUCUAGGGACUCUCCCAGAACUAUGGACUUUGAUGAAUUGAGUUUUUGUUUUAGUUUUGGCAGGUAGUGCCACCUACUACAUACAGCCUGAAUGGCAUUCAAUUAGGGAGUCAGCUGUGCUAAGGUCUCAGGGCCUGUUACAUUCCAAAGUUGCAGAACUAAAGAAUGUGUCUGUGAGAACAAAGCUCACCUGGUAGAUGAUUGUGGAAUUCCAGAACAAACGUGUGUAAAGAAUUCAUGUUUCUAUUUCAUUCUUCCUAUUUUCCAGAUGUUAUUCUACUGACAGGAAAGAAAGGCUAUGUGAAAGGCCCCUUUCUGAGCCCUAGUAAUUGCUUGUUAGUAAUCAUGAAAGCAUCAUGAGUUCAUGAAUGUUUCUUCUUUAAAAUUAUUAUAAUACCAUUUGUAUUCAUAAAUUAAGUGUAAAACAUGAUAAUAGUCAAAAGUAUUCAUAUUCCUAACUCUGGGUCUUUUCACUUCUUAAUGAAAGCUAAUUUACACAUAGCAAUUAAGGACCUUGAUUCUGUCAAGAAGCCAGAGGACCCCCACACCCCCCUUCCAAACGUACUGUUUCCUUUUUGAAAUGAACAGUAUGUAUAUUGAAAAGUGCUGUGGCAUCAAGUUAUAAGAAUCAACGAAAGUAGGAGAACAUGGGAGGGUGGCUUUGUCACGCCGUAGGGUCUGUAAUAAAUGAGUUUGUGAAUGAUGAGCAUUAAUAAGGAAGCAGUUCUCAGUCUAUGCAAACUGCUUGCUUAGCCGUGAAUUGCAGUACCGAAAUAACUCGGUUCCAGCUUUUCUAAAUCUGACCAUGUGGUCUCAAAUAAUCCGUAGGAUCUCCUAGCGAGGACCGCAUUGUCUUUUAUAAUGUGCAGAGCCCAGCAGACGGUUCCUUUCACUUCCUAAGUCUUCUGGACAAGAGCUGCCUCUGUGACCACGUGGCCUAACGGAUAAGGCGUCUGACUUCGGAUCAGAAGAUUGAGGGUUCGAAUCCCUUCGUGGUUACUUAACUUUUCUUUUUUUCUCUGAUUUCUAUAAGUUAAAUUAUAACGUCCGAUCAAAAAAUAAAAAAAGACUCCCUCAUUUU